rnacentral:rRNA from 1 species
UCCUCGGCUCUGAAGAUGCUGACGACGAAGCGAAGUGCGAGGAGCAAAUUGAAGUCGGCAAGAAGCACGGGGUCCCUGAAAGCCACUUGCAACAAC